ACUACUAGUCUUCUGAACACAACACACAGAUAAUCGCUUCCCUUAUUUUUUUUUUUUUUCUUUUUCUUUUCCCUCUUUUUUAAUACAAGUCCAGUUUUCCGCUCUCUGUACCAAAAUUUUCCCGAGAAAAUCCUAGUCCGGAGCUUUCAUCAGUCCCAAAUUCAAUCCCAUCCAUCACUAAGCCUUGGCAAUCUCCACCUGAAGAUGAUGUCUCCUCCAAGAAGAAAGAAAUGGACUGAAGCAGAAGAGAGAACCCUAAUCUCAAAGUAUGGAGAGAUGGUCUCUGAUGGAACCCUCGCCAAGAUGAAAACCCGUGAGAAGAAAUUCCAACCCAUUGCUUGUUAUGUCAAUUCGGUGCACCACGCUCGCGAUUCUCUCGCGUACCCUUGGCAAUGGACUUGGAAGGACGUGUCCACCAAGGUCCAGAACAUGAGGCACCAGUACUUGCUCGUCAAGCAAAAGAUCAAGAAGCCUGAUUCUGAGAAUUCCGGCGCGGGGGACUGUAAUAAUAGGGAGGAAUUUGAUUGGGUGGAGGGACAUACGCAUUGGUCGAAUUUUUUGAGGUACAAAGAGGUUUUCGGGGACGUGCCAAUAGGGAAUGGUAGUAAUGCCGAUUUGGCGACGGUGAUGAAUGGUGAGAAUGGUGAGAAUGGUGGGGGUUUCAUGGAGAGGGGGAUGGAUAUGGUGGGGUUUGGACCAAUGGAUAAUGAUGGGAACGGGGAUUUUCCAGUGGCAGGGAUCAAUGGCAUUGAGAAUGGGGUGAUGGGUUUUGGUUUUGAGUAUGAUGGAGAGGAGGUGGAGGAGGAUUAUAAUGGGAAUGAUCAGGUUAGAGAGGGCAGGGACGCUGGUUUUGUGUAUGAAGAAGUAAAUAUGAAUGGGUCGAAUUCAAAGAAGAAGAGGAAAGUGUUGAAAGGUUUGGAAAGGAAGGCAUGGGGGUUUCUUGCAAACCAGUUGGGGCAGUUGAGGGAAUUGGAGGCUCGGUUUGAGCAGCGUGAGCUGGAGAGAGAGCGUGAGAGGCAAAGGAGAGAGAGUGUCCGGGUGGAGGUGGAGAAAGAAUGGGAACGAAAAUGGGAAGAGAGUGAAAAGGAUAUGGAAGAGCGAGAGAAGGCUAGGGAGAAGUUGAGGAAGCAGAGAAUUCGAGAAUGGGAAGCUCUGGAGAAGGAGAGUGAGGAGAGGGAAAGAAGAAGAAGAGAGGAAGAGUUGAUUCAUGAGAGAGAAUGGCAGGAGAGGAUGAAUAGGAGAAGGUCAGAAUGGAAGAAGAGGAUUGAUGAUUUGCUGAAUCAGCAUCGGGCAGACAUGGGCCAGAUUCAGACCCGAAUUCUUCAUGAGCAGCAAAACCUCACCAACCAGUUGCUUGGGAUUGUCUCUCAAUGGACCGCUCAUCCAGCUGGGCUUUCUGAUCAUACUAGUGCUAGCAACCAUUAUCUUUCACAGAUGAUGCAGAAUCUGCAUCAUGUAAAUGGUUUGGUUCAUGGAGAUACAAGGGUUGAGGGAGAUAAUCAAGAUGAUCAAUUCAUUGUUGAUGGCUGAAGCUAUUAGAGGAUGAUUAUGGUCACGGGAAGAAGUGUAAAGGUCAGAGAAUUGUUGAGUACAUUCUAAUGUGGACUUUCUUCAACUAGAUGGGUUGCAAUAGUAUCUUUGUGAGUCAUCCCUACCAGGCCAGGCGGAAAUGACAACCACUUGGAAUGAGGAUGCUGCAGACCACUUUCAUCAUUUGUGAAAGUGACUCUUUUCAGUGAGUAGCUGGAGUUUAUAUUUAAUGUGGUGCGAACUCUAACUUGUUUCAUGAGAUGAAAAGUACUGGGUGCACUUCAUCAGGUAUGACAUCCAUGCUUUUGUACAUUGGUUAUGCAUUCCUUUUAUUUAUUUAUUUCUUGUUCGAUUCUUUCACCUUUUCUGGGGUUGGGGUCGGUUGGAGAGAGCUUUGUUGGGCUAGCUUGUGCAUACAAAUUUUUAUGUUAAACUCGUUCCACUGCUAAACUUUUGUUGUGUAAAUUGACUGGAAUUCGAAUCCACGGUGUCCACUUCAUUAAAUCGCUACUAGACCACCAAUACUAACAAUAGUUAUUAUUUGGAGGGUAGAAGUACCUUUAGAGGAAUUUCAUCUUUGAUGAGCGUUGAAAAACUCAAACUGAAAUAUCUUAAUUGAACAUACAAACAGACACUUGUGCACAGGUAGAAGACUUGAUGCCUUUGAAGCUCUGAAAUCACAUACUAUUGAGCCUACAUUAAAUUUCUUUAUUUUUUGAUAAUUGAUAUGAAUAGGCAUAGCUCAAGUACACAAGAUGGUGUACAAAAGGUAACACCUAUUUAGGGAGAGGAAAUGGAAACAAGAAAUUUAUGAAAAUGAAGUAUGAAAAUUAAACCUUCAUUAAAUUCCAUUCUUAUAUCUACUCCAAUAUGCAAUGAUGUAUGAAAAUG